GUCCACUCUCCUUGUCCUCAGGAGUAGACGUGCCUUCUUCACCAUUCUGCUGACUCUCUGCAAGGUGUGUCUCCUCUGUCUCAAUCAGGAUGUUCUCCUUGGCUUUGUUCGCCACUUGCUCUUCCUCAGGGGCUAUGCUGCUCUGUCUCCGCUCAGCUUGCUCUGCUGCCUGCUUCUCACUCUCCUCCUGCCUUCUGCGGGCCUGUUCCCCCGCCAGUGCGGAUCUCAGCUGCAGACUUCUCCAUGUCUACUUCCACUUUCAGACCACAUAACCUUUGAAGUUCAUUGUUAAAGGAGUCUGUGCUUUCUAGGAAUUUCCUCUUCUUUUCCUGGUGUCAUUCUUCUAUCUGAAGGAGCUCGGCUUCUAGUUUCCGCUGAUGAACCACUAAAGACUGGACCUGUCGCUUGAGGACCUGCAUUCUAGCUGUUGUGACAACUGACCGCACAUCAGAUACCACACUCUCUCUGAGAAUGUCACUGAUGAGACAGUAGUUUCUCUGGAAAUGGGCAGUGACUGUGUGCUUCAUUGAAAAGCCAUCAUUAUCAUCAUCUGGAUCCUUAGCAGGCUGGAUGCUAAUCUAAGGUUCUCCUUUCUCCGUGAGAGACUGGCUCUGUCAACUUUCUUCCUCUAAUGCAACUUCUGCACGACUUUUUGUAUUAAUAUAGGCAAGUGAGAUCUCGCCACAUGCCACCAAUAAUCUUGCCAAUCUCCCACAACUUUAGGUCAGGAUUGGAAGCCUUUACUUGGCCCCAGACGUUUCUGCUGUACCUCAUGUAGGGCAUCAGCGGCUUAUCUGGUGGCUCUGGAGGCUUUGGAACAGUAAUGCUAGAGGACGCCGUGACCCCGCUGUUGGUGCCCGGGUUCCCUCCCAGCCUGUAGUUGUUGUAGGGGAGAUGACUGUAUAGAUUGUAUCCCACAAAUCCUGGUGUGCUGGGCAUUUGUGUUGCAAGAGCUGGGGUGGGAAGUUGGGCAUUAGAUGGUCUUUCCAUGGGCCAAGAAGGCACCUGCAGCUCUGACUUUACCCAGUAUUUUAUUUCUUAAAACAUAAUGAAGCUUCAAAGAAUGAAAUUGCUUCGUUUAACAUUUAUCUACAUACUGUUAUGUGUAUCUUAUAGACAUUUACUAGUUUAAUCCCCAGUAAUCUAUGAUGUAGGUUUAUAAUUGUGAAAUUUCAGGUGAUUAAUAGGGAAAAGUUUUAAAAGCAUGUGUUAUACUUUUUCUUUGAAAGCAUAUCACAAAACAAAAAUGUCAUGUGGCCAACUCUACCCAUUCUGUGAUGGAAAUCAUGAGCCCAGGCCAAUCCAGCCCAUACCUUCCAUUCAGUCUGAUUCUGCAGGAGGCGGUUGUGACAGUCAAUGCCAAGUUUCAAUUAGAACCUCACAACAGGGGUUUGGCUAGCAUAUUCAAGUAGAAAUGCUUAUAUCUAAGCACAGUAAAUUUAAUGAAGAUAAGUGAAAUUUUUGAGUUGUUAUGUUUCUAUAGUUGAAAUAUUAUCAGUUUUGCUAUUAGUAAUGUCAAGUAUUUUAUUUAUGGCAUUUUAAUAUAUUGAAAGUAAAUUUUCUUACUUUGGAAAUAGCACAAUGUGUGAUUCCACUUUUAAAAUUUCUUUUACAGAGUGCUCCUUUCCAUUAAAAAAAUGCUUUUUAGAGAAGCACUUCUUCCUAAGAAUAAAAAAGGAAUUGUGAUCAUUCUUUUUGGUGCUGCUAUACAGCAGUGAGAAUCUAUUUCAAGGAUAUCAUGACUUGUUUUUAUUUUAUAUUUAUCUAAUUUUUAAAUAUGCAACAAUACUUAGAUAUGGAUUGUAUUCUUUAUGACUACUGACUUGUACUUCAUCAGAUUCUCAAAAACACUUGUAAAUACAUAAAAUAAUUAGAGGAUU
rnacentral:lncRNA from 1 species